ensembl:lncRNA
GUGAUGGCUGUCAUUAACGUGAUUCUGUUGGCACACUAAUUGGUUAGGGUAAUCUCAAGCAAAGUCAUAAUGUUAUUUUACUACAGUGACCAACUGCCCAAGUCUCCUGGUCUUAUCUACAUAUUUCCUCUCUUUCACCACCAUUCUCCAAUAGGCUACGAUCACCAUAGAAUGGAGGAGGACAGGCACAUCAUUUAAAACAUUGAGGACCUGAGCCCUAGGACCUGAGCUCCAGGACUACCUGACAUGAUGACUCCUUGCUGUCCCCAGUCCACCUGGCCAUGCUGCUGUUCCAGUUUCAACUGACCUGAGCCCUAGGACCAUGCCCCAGGACUACCUGACAUGAUGACUCCUUGCUGUCCCCAGUCCACCUGGCCAUGCUGCUGCUCCAGUUUCAACUUCCACCUGACUGUUCUGCCUUAUUAUUAUUAUUCGACCAUGCUGGUCAUUUAUGAACAUUUGAACAUCUUGGCCAUGUUCUGUUAUAAUCUCCACCCGGCACAGCCAGAAGAGGACUGGCCACCCCACAUAGCCUGGUUCCUCUCUAGGUUUUCCCGAUCAUCAUCUAAAACACAAUGACAAAAAGUAGCAAUUGAAACUUUUCUUGUGCUCCAGUCACUCUUUAGCAUUAGAAGGUGAAUACACUUUCGACUAGCAACAGCUUCUAUUCAUUUUAAUACCGCAAUCUGCAGCUUUCAUGUUUAGUUAAUUUGAUGCAUUGAGUAGGCAUACACGUCUGCAGUUCAGUCAUGACAGAUUUGCAUUUGAAGUGAUUUCUAUGGUGACGAUCCAUACAUAUGGCUACAUUUAUAAGCAGCACCCUGAUAAUUAUCAGAGUGUUAUUAGGAACCUAUAACAUCCAAUUUAAGGAAAUGAUAUUGUGGAAAGAUGUCAAUACUAGAUUUGAUGUUUAUCACUCUGUAUGGGGAUGGCCUCCACCAACACCAUCAGAUCCCUUUUCAGUCAAAGCUCUUUCCAUUAAAGCAGCUGAGCAUUGAUCUCACUCAUGAGCAAGAGGAAUUUUAGCCUGAGGCUUUUCCUGAAAGUGAAAAAGUUUUAGAUUAUUUUGGUAAAUUAAAAAAAUGUGUCUUGACAUGGCAGCUGUGAAGGGUCCUAGUUGAGAGACUAGUUUUGCUUUUUUUUGUGGUGAAAUGGGAUAAGGCCACACAGGAGGCCAUGUUGUAUACUAUCAGUAGCUGCAAGACAUAAACAAUUCCAUCAAACAAAUGUUGCAUGAAGUAAACAACACCUGGAGCACUUGUAUAAAACACUAUUUGUCUUCCAUUUGAAGAGUGCACCUGCAUGGCACUGAUAUUGAGAUAUGUAUCUUCAAAUAGCUCUAGUUUUGUCAGUCUGACCGAGUUGAAGUAAUGUGAGGAUUGAUUGAAUAGAGAAGAGAUAACACAUUUAGAAUGGAAAAUAAAACAGGCCAACACUUGAGGUGCAACUGAAGCUUUCUUUUAUUUUUGUGUAUUUUUGGAAACAAAUAGAUUCACACUGCCUAAAUGCAAAUGAGUGUGAACUCCUGCCCAUGUCCCACCCCACCUUUCUGGAAAAUAUUGUCUUAUCCAUUAGUGCAAGCUGACAAAAAAAAUGAGUGUUUUCUCAUUGUGUGGCUGAGCAGAGAAUUUAAUUCAGGUCCAGUCUUGGGGGCUCAGUACACUUGGGGUUUUGUUCGAGCUCCUUUCAUAUGCUGCAGACCGUGGCAACAAAGACUGCUUUCACAGCGUCACUGUAAAAGCAUCUGAAAAGAAAGAAAGGAUGAAAGUUAACUGAGAACUGCUGGAGGAAAGGCUUAUGUGAGGGUUAACUGAGAACUGCUGGGGAAAUGGUUUAUGUGAAGUCUCCAGUCUGUUCGUCAAGUCCAUCUCACCCUCCAUCCUUCCAUAUUCGAGACUUUCUUUUUCAGUUGCCAUUGCCAUGCUAUCGAGUUUGGUGUGUCCUACUUGAGUGAACCACAAAAAUACACUUAACAAAAAUAUAAAUGCAACAUGUAAAGUGUUGGUCCCAUGUUUCUGAAAUAAAAGAUCCCAGAAAUGUUCC